rnacentral:lncRNA from 1 species
AUAUAUUUUUAGUAAAUAAUUUGAAAAUAACACCAAAAUAAACUAAAUAAUAACAUAAAAUUUAAACAAACGUAAAUAAAAAAUUAAAUUAUAAUUAAUUUAGUGUUAAAUAGAUUUUUAAAAGGAAAAACUUCAAAUACGCCCUGUGGUUUCGCACUUUUUCACUUUACUACCCUGUGGUUUAAAGUGUAUCAAGUUAGUACCAUGUGGUUUCGUACUUUCUCACUUUAGUACUCUGUGGUUUAAAGUGUAUCAAGUUAGUACCCAGCGGUAUCGCUUUUUUUCACUUUAGUAUCAUGUGGUUUAAUAUUUCGUUAAAUUAUGUACAAAAAACUUCAAAUAUCCUAUCUAGAUUUAUCGAAUAUUCAUUUUAGUACUCUUUAGUUUUAACUUUGUCACUAAUUUAACGAAAAAAAUAUCCUGAAAUGGAUAAUAAAAAGAGAAAAAUAAAACUACAUGGUACUAACUUGAUACAAAAAUGAACCACAGAGUACUAACUUGAUACACUUUAAACUACUAAUACUAAAGUGAGAAAAUGCGAAACAACAGAGCACUAAUUAACUUAAUACACUUUAAACCAUAGAAUACUAAACUAGGAAAGUGCGAAACUACAUGAGGGUAUUUGAAGUUUUUUCUUUUUAAAAAUAUGCAGGAUGCCUACGGGAUGGGGUCGGGAGGACUUUUUUCGAAAAUAACCCUGUGAAAUUUCGUAUUUGCCAAAGUAACCCUGUGAAACUUUUAUUUGUGAAACUAACCCUCCUCUCGCCACCUCAGCCGCCACAUCAGCAUUUCUCACAAAGACGGUGACUCGUUCACCGUCUUUAGGCCUAACAUCUUGAAGGCGGUGAAUGGUUCACCGCCUUCUCGAGGCACCACCUUCACAGCAAUUCCCCGCGCACCCUACCGCCUUCUCAGCAAUUCCCCGCGCACCCUAAGGUGCCCCGAGAAGACGGUGACUCGUUUACCGCCUUAUGAAGGCGGUGAAUCGUUUACCGUCUUAUCGAAGCCACCGCCCUCUCAGCAAUUCCCCGCGUGGCGCAAGGCCUUCUCAGCAAUUCCCCGCGUGGCGCUAGGUGCCUGCGGAAGACGGUCACUCGUUUACCGUCUUGACAAAGGCGGCGAAUAGUUUACCGUCUUAUCUAGGCAUUCUGAUAAGGCGGUGAUUCGUUUACCGCCUUAUCUAUGCCGCCUAACCAAAUCCCAGUCUUACUGUAGAACUCCACCCAGCCUAAUUUCGCUUAGUCCUCGAGAGAGGGGCUAAAACACGGAUAAGACGGUGAACCGUUCACCGUCUCAUCUGGGCUGCACUAGACACGGUUAACACCGUCUUUAGCGCCUGACUCCUAGAUAAGGCGGUGAACCGUCCACCGUCUUCAUGACGCGGUGAACGGUUCACCGUCUUAUGAAGACGGUGAACCGUUCAUCGGCUUCAAUAGGUUACCCUACCCGCGGACCGAGCACGAUACCUCUUCCUUCCUUUUCCCGCUCACGCUUUCUCUCUCUAUCUCUCUAUCUCUCUUUCUAUCUCUCUCUAUGCCCAUCCCUCUGCAUGGGCCGCCCCCUGUCGCCGCCACCCGUGCCGAGGUCGCCGCCCCCUGUCGCCGCCGCCUCGCCGCCCCCUGUCGUCGCCAGCCGUGCCAAAGUUGCCGCCCCCUGUCGCCGCCGCCCGUGCCAAGGUCGCCGCCCCCUGUCGCCGCUACCCGUGCCGAGGUCGCCGCCCCCUGUCGCCGCCGCCCGUGCCAAAGUCGCUGCCCCCUGUCGUCGCCGCCCCCUGUCGCCACCGCCCGUGCCAAGGUCGCCACCCACGGUCGCCGACGUCGCCGCCGCCGCCGCCCCUGCCGAGGUCGCUACCCAUCCCUCUCUCAGGUGCAUACUCUAGUGUAGGUUUAAUGUAAAUGUAGUUGGUUUAGCUGUAAAUGUACUUUAGUUAGAUGACAAUCUCACUUNGUAGUUGGUUUAGCUGUAAAUGUACUUUAGUUAGAUGACAAUCUCACUUUGAAUGGCACAAAUGCACAAAUGCACUUUGAAUGUAAGUGCCUUAUGCUUUUGAAAUGGCACAAAUGCACUUUGUAUUUGGUGUAAGCUUCUCUAACUGUCAAAUAUUAUCUAGAGAUAGUGUAAUUUGCCUUAUGCCCAUCCCUCUCACAGGUGUAAGAGCCUUAUGCCUUUGAAAUGCGCAAAUGCACAAAUGCACUAUAGAAACCUCUUUUGGAUAUGCACAAAUGCACAAAUGCACUAUAGAAACCUCUUUUGGAGGUUAUUUGGUUACUAAUUGGAAUAGCUUAUUUGGUUACUAAUUGAUUUGAUUUCGGGAUUGGAAAUAAUUAGUAUUCUACUAUAGAAACCUCUUUUGGAGGUUUAUGGCUAGUCGUUAGAAAUAAUUAGGAUUUUUUUUCCUGUGUAGUUAAAAUGGCUAGUCGUCGAAUGUUUCUUAGUGUUCAUUAGGAUGGAUAGUUAGUUAUGGAUGGAAAUGGUCCCCGAUAUUUCGGUGGUCAAAAGAAAUUGAUCGCGAUUCGUUCAGAGAUGACCUAUAUGAAUUUUGAGAGGAGAAUGUAUUGUUUAGUAAAUUGUAAUAGAGAAGAAUGUUGUCUUAAAUACAAAAUUCAUUGCCCUAUGAGAGCGAAUGAAUAUAUUGAUCAUGAUAUAGUAGAUGAUGAAUCAUUGGAGGGUUUAAUUGGAUUGUCUGAACAUUAUGGAUGUAUGUCGCUAUACAUCGAGAAAGAUUUAUAUCCGUCGGAGACACAAUAUCAGUCGCAAGGUUAUUACACAAGCCUGCUACAUAAUGAUAUCGAUGUGGGUUUUCCGGAUGCUCCAAUUACCGUGAAGUUGGUAAUGAACCAGACACUUAUCAGAUGACAAGUUCAGUAAGAUCUAUUAGAUUGCGGUGAAUAUUUUAUUUAAUUACGAAAUAUUUUGAUAAGUCUGAAUAAUAAUUACUGCAGACAGAUUCAAUCUCCACGUGCGCAACCCUCGACGUCAUGUGCGCAACCCUCCACCUCACGUGCACAACCCUCGACGUCACGUGCGCAGCCCGAGACUUCACGUGACGAACCCAUGAUAUUUCAUACACCUAAUGAAAAUUACGAUUGGGGGUAAAGAAAAUUUUGAUUAUUUUUAAUUAAUAGUAAGUGAAAUUUGAACGUCUUCUAGUAAACAUUCGGAACCUAUUGCAGGCUAUCUACGUCCUAUGCAAAUUAGAAUGAAGUUCUUGAUAAUCUAGUCGAGGAAGGAGAUGAUAACAACGGUAAUCAGGAUGAUGCCCCCAUUCAUAAUGAUGGUAAUCAGGAUGAUUCACCCAUUCGUAAUGACGAUAAUCAGGAUGAUGAACCCAUUCAUGAGGACGACGAUUGGAAUGAUCUAGCUGCCGACAUUGAAGAUGAUCACGAUGGUGGAUUAAAUUGCCUCGCGAAUGCCAUAUACAGUUUGAAUAGUGACCCACACGUAAACAACGAAUAUGUAGACAAUCCUGACGAAGAGCUUGAUUUCAUUGACCAUCCGGAGCAAUUUCCUACAGAUAACAAUUGAAUACAAGAGUAUGUUGUGAAUUCAAAUGAGUUCGAUGUUAGACGUACCAAUUCCGAUCUACCUAGCAUUGACGGGACUUGGCUCCAUGAAAUCUUUAAAGAUAAGGCAUCUUUAGUGGAUGCUCUAGAUCGAUGGCACAUUACUCACAAUGUUCAGAUGAAAGUUUUGAAAUCUACCAAAACAACUUAUACAGUGAAAUGCACAGUUGAGGGAUGUCCUUGGAGGUUACACGCUUCGGUUCCUAAAGAUGCAACAUAUUUCAAAGUUAAGACAUAUGCGGGUCAACACACUUGUGUUAUUCCAAUGCUAAAUGCGGCGCAUCGUAAUUGUACUUCAAAUCUCAUAUGCCAAGUAAUUCUCUCGUUAAUGAAGGCAAGACUAAAUAUGACGCCAAAAGAAGUGCAGAAAACAGUGCGAUCCACUUCACAUGUUCAAAUAAGUUAUUGGAAGGCAUGACUGGCAAGGAGCAAAGCAUUACAGAUUAUUUACGGGAGUUGGGAGCAGUCAUACACAGACUUGCCUCGGUAUCUUACUAUGCUGCAGAGUACUAAUCAUGGAACUUUUUGGCGACUUGAUCAUAUAUGGCCAUCAGAGGGAAUAUGUCAGUUUGGUCGUGUUUUCUGGUCAUUUGCUCAUUCUAUUCAUGGAUUCGCACAUUGUAGGCCUGUGGUGAGCAUUGAUGCCACUCACUUGUAUGGCAAAUACGAAGGCCAUGCAUUGAUAGCGACGGCUGUCGAUGCGAAUGAUACCAUUUUUUUCUUGGCUUUUGCAAUUUGCGAAGACGAAAAUGGUAGAAGUUGGCAUUGGUUUUUACAUAACUUGGGGCAUUAUGUUAUACGCAAUCGACCGGUUUGUUUUAUAUCCGAUAGAUUUAGUGGCUUAAAGGAAAUAAUGGCUGAGUUAUAUCCUACUCGACAUGGGCAUGCACACCGGUGGCGUCUUCGACAAAUGAAAGCAAAUAUGGCUAAGCGGUUUAAAAAUGAUUCAUUAUUAGACAAAUUCUAUUGUAUCGGCAGUGCUCCAACAUCGGUACAAUAUUAUAAACUGAAAGAUGAGUUACUCGCGCUAGAUCAGGAUACUUGGAAGUGGGUCGAUGAGCUCGAAGUAUACAAAGAGUAUUGGGCGUGGGUAUUUGAUGGAGGUCGACGCUUCGGGUUGAUGACCACAAAUAUGUCCGAGAGUUUAAAUGGGGUACUUAAGGGAAUUCGUGCUCUCCCAGUAACGGCAUUUGUCGCGUGCACUUUUUAUAAACUUAAUAGUUAUUUUGUAAAGCGUCGUGAAAAUGGUGAAAGUAUGACGGCCACGUUAGCACCUAAAAUACAAAGUCGGAUUACGAUGAAUAUGGUGACGGCGUGGGGACACAUUGUAUAUCGAUUUGGGCCUAAUGAGUUUGAAGUCCAAACAGGACACUCUGAUUACAAUGUUACCCUUAAUAGAACACAAGCGGAUUGUGAUUGCGGCUAAUUCAAGCUAACGGGCAUACCUUACUCGCAUAUUUUAGCAGUUUACAGUAAUUCACAACUAAGAAUAGAUUAUCAUAGUCUUUGCUCCCAUUGGUAUACUGUAGAGUGUUAUUGCCAGACAUACGCACCGCUUUUCUAUCCAGUUCCAGACAGACGCUACUGGCCACGGCUCCAGGGCCUACCAAUUGUACCGCCUCCCGUGAGAAGGAAGAAAGGUCGACCACGAUCAACACGUAUUCGUAAUAUAAUGGACGAAACAAGUGGGCGACGAACAAAAUGUAGCAUUUGUAAGCAGGGAGGUCAUUAUAGAAACACCUGUCCACAGAAUACAGAGAUAGCACAACAAGGACGUCGACGUAGGACUUUAUACCUAACUUAAUAGUAUUUAUGAAACUUUCAAUCUUUCAAUAUUCAAUGCGCUUUUUGAUAAUAUGUUACUAAUUACAAAUUAUUUAAAAUUACAGAUGGCAGAUCUAGAGGAGGCGGGACCAGUUGAUGAGUCCGUCCUGACAGAGCAGCAUCUCCAUAGGUCUUCAUUUAUCACGAUUGAGGUGAGAGCCAAAAUUAUUAUUUUAAAUAUUUUCUUUAGUAUUGGUUUGAAUAUAAAUGUUGUUCUAACUAAUUUUUUGUCACUGUAGGGAUAUCGCGGGGUACAGUUCAUAGAGCAUGGCCGCAAAUUAAACCAAGGGGAGCUUGAUCACCCAGCAGUGCUAGAUUUUCUACGACAGUCUGGAUUUUAUUAUGUUUCUCGACUUAGGCAUCUAUAGCUGGAUCAGGCAUUAUUAGGAGCUUUGAUCGAGCGAUGGAGACGGGAGACCCAGACAUUUCACUUCCGCCACAGUGAGAUGACGAUUACACUUCAGGAUGUGGCGGUUAUUUCGGGUCUUCGUGUCGAUGGAGCGCCGGUCACUGGGACUAUAGUGUAUCCGUGGCCAGAUAGUUGUCAGGCGCUUUUAGGGGUUGUGCCGGAUGACAUUCGAGCUGGGCAGAUUAGAUUAGAUUGGAUAUACCAGCAGUUUCAUCAUCUACAUUUGGAUGCUCCGGCUGGAUUAGUUGCAGCCACUGCACGUGCAUAUAUAUUAUAUCAGAUUGGCUGUAAUCUAUUUCCAAACACCACCGGAUAUAGGGUUCAUCUUAAGUGGUUCCCACUUAUAGCGAAUUUUGAUGCAUGCGGCGGUUUAGUCUAGGGUGCAGCAGCACUGGCCUAUCUAUAUCGAGCUUUGGGAUCGGCUGCAUUAAAAGGAAAGGUCGAAUGCUGUUGCUUUGCGACAUUAGUACAUGUAUUAUGAGUAAUAUAUAAUAAUUGUUAUAUAAAGCUUCUCCUAUUUAAGUUCAACAGUUUAAUUUAUUGUCAUUUAUUUAUUGAUUUGGGCGUGGGACCAUCUUCAUGUCGGCCGACCUACUAGCAUUGGAGCUUUUGCCGACAUGGCUGAUUGCCCUAUAUGUUGCCGGUAUGACAUAUAAAUUUGAUACAGAAUAUAUUUAUAUAUAUAUACAUUUGCAACUAAUAGAUAUACUUUUCAAAUAUUAGGUGGACGAACGCCGCCGGAUUACGUUUUGCAGCAAACGUUAGAACAAUAGAUAUUGAGUUCUACCGAGAUGAAUUAAACCAACAGAGAGAGACUCAGGUACGUAUUAAUGCAACCAUUUACCUAAAAUACAACCGUAUUAAUGUAUUCAGCUGACUAUUAUUGGCUUUUUCACAGAUGACAUGGCGGUCGUACACAGAUGCUAUUAUAGAGGCAUUACCGGCAUUCUGUGUACAGGGUAGUGAGGUAUGGCGAUCUUGGACGACACUGAUUUCUUUUCAUAUCGUUGAGCUUCACGUGCCGGAUCGAGUCCUACGGCAGUUUGGUCUCCUCCAGCAUAUACCCAUUCCGGUGGAGACCAUCCGACGCUACACUUCUCAGGGGCGGCCAGAUGAGGAUUGGGCCCAGUUUCAUGCUGCACACAUCGAGAGAUGGGGACAUAGAUUAUAGGUCAUUAUUGACCAGCAUCCGAUUGUCGGUGAUGACCCGGUACAGGCGACCUCGAUUUAUAUGGAGUGGUAUUGGCAGAUUACGAGACGAUGGAUUUCUCGUCCAGUACAACGUCCUCUAUUGACUUACCAGCCUCGCGGUCAGACCGAGAGAGCUUUGGUACGAUCACUCAGCCCAUUUAUGAUUUUUUUAAUCUUUUGUAUAAUAUAGAUUGCCAAAGGUGAGUUAUUAUCUAUAAUGCAGGUGGACGCUAUACAACAGACACAGUAUAGCAUCAGAAGGCUAGUUCAUGAUCGACCUUCUUACGGUGCGGUGAUGGAGACAUUGACAGGUAUGGAUAUCGAUCUUGAUAGUGUACUGGAGUACAUUCCUACUAUACCUGUCGCCACUGAUAUCAGAAGUCGAGAUUUUGGACAUGCAUCGACAUCGGGUCAUCACCACCGUUAGACACUGACAUCUGCUUGAUCUCCACCUCCUAGUGAUGUUGCUGAUAUGCCCGCCGUCCCUGAGAGAUUUUCUUUGAGGCCAGUGGACUUGGACUUGCUUUUGCCGCCGCAGUCUCUAGAGAGCACUUUACAUUCGUCUAUUCUCGACGUCAUGCCGCGUCUUCAUCACAGGCCCGCCCAACAUCUAGACCAGCCACUAUCGAGGAGACUCACGUGAUACCGGAGCAUCGCGAGGGAAUUAUGAUUGCGGAUCUCGAUAAGAUGGCCGAUAUCGAGGCAAUUGAUGACGUAUCUAUUGCUGAUCUCGUUGUAGAGGUUGGCCCUAGACGUGGACGUGCCCGUGCACGAGGACGUGGCCGAGGACGUCGAGGGAGAGGAAGAUCGAGAGCCUGAUUGUAUAUCUUUGAUUUAGAUAACUUAGACUUUGUAUAAUAUUAUAUAAUACUUAAUUUAGUACAUAUUUGUAUAUUUCUCGGGGUUUCUUUUGAUAUUUUUAUUCUGUUGAUUGUAUCUUGUUAUUCCACUCGAUCUGUUGUGUUUUUUGUUGGAAUAUUUGUUAUCGUGAAAAAACUUGCGUUAAACUUGUUAAAAUUUUUUUAAAAAUCAAGCUUAAAUCAGCACCUGGUGCUGUUUGCACUAAAGGCGGUGAAUGGUUCACCGCCUUUAGUGCAAAUCCAAGAACCCGGGGAAAAAAAGGCUAAGUCCUGGACUCGGUGGUGUUUGCACGAAAGACGGUGAACCACUCGCAGUCUUUAAUAAGACGGUGAACCAUUCACCGUCUUAUCUAUGCCACAAACUCGGGCUGUUGACGGGAGAUUUGCUGAGAAGGCGGUGAAUGGUUUACACCUAGAUAAGGUGGUAAACGAUUCACCGCCUUUGUUAAGGCGGUAAACGAGUCACCGUCUUCUCUAGGCUACGCGAGGAAUUGCUUAGAAGGCGGUGAUAUGCGGGGAAUUGCUGAGAAGGGUCCACGCCUAGAUAAGGCGGUAAACGAUUCACCGCCUUUGUUAAGGCGGUAAACGAGUCACCGUCUUCUCGAGGCUACGUGGGGAAUUGCUGAGAAGGCGGUGAUACGCGGGGAAUUGCUGAGAAGGAGGUGAAUGGUCCACGCCUAGAGAAGACGGUGAACCAUUCACCGCCUUCAAGAUGCGUUCCCAAAGACGGUGAACGGAUCACCGUCUUUGUGAGAAACGCUGACCUGGCGGCUGAGGUGGCGAGAGGAGGGUUAGUUUUACAAAUAAAAGUUUCACAGGAUUAUUUUGGCAAUUACGAAAUUUCACAGGGUUAUUUUGGCACUUAUCUCAUACUUCUGACUAGUGAUUGGCUCCAAUACCAAUCUGUAAUGUGUCGCUCUUUAGAAAGGUCACUUAUCCUAAAACUACUCGUUAUCUUUUGACUCGUUUAACCCUCUUAACCGCUCAAAAUACUACAGUUGGUUUAAAAAAGGGCAAAUUUCAAAUGCUACCUGUGUGGUUUCACAAUUUUUCACUUUAGUACCCUGUGGUUUAAAAUGUAUCAAGUUAGUACCCUGUGGUUUUAUUUUCCUUUUUUCGUCAGCUCCUCCAUUUAUAUUUUGUUAAAUUAUAUAUAAAACCUCAUAUACCCAUCUUAGUUUAUCGAAUAUUCACGCUCUAGUACCUUUUCGUUCUAAUUUUGUCAGUAAUUUAAUGGAAAAUAAUUAGUAGAAUGGCUAAUAAAAAAAGAAAAAUAAAAUCGCAGGAUACUAAAUUAAUACACUUUAAACUACAGGAUAUUAAAGUGAAAAAGUGCGAAACUAUAUGGGUAGUAUUUAAAAUUUUUUCUUAAAAAGUUUUACGUUACUAUACCUUAUAUAUAUAAUUAUUUUCCAUUAUAAGAACGUCGUAGAUAAUCAUAUUGUAAUUAUUCUGGCACCCGAUAGUUCCAUAUAAAACAAAAAAAAUAAUUAUAGGUGAUAAGGGACUACCAAGUACCAACCACAUAAAAAUAAUAAUAAUAUANNNNNNNNNNNNNNNNNNNNNNNNNGGAUCCUUGUAGUAUUUAUCAAAUGCAGCACUUGCAAGAACCAGUGUUGCAAGCACUACUGUACUAUCUUCUACUUCCGGGCUCUUUACUCUUUUCAUCGGCAUACUUUUGGGACAAGAUACCUUAAAUGCAGCAAAAGUUGUUGCUGUCUUCAUCAGCAUGGCUGGGGUUGUAAUGACAACUAUGGGCAAGACUUGGGCAUCAGAUGAGUCAGAAUUGAGCUCUUCUGGGUAAGCUCAUUGCGUAUGUCUUGUUCUUUGUUAUUUAUAAUCGAGAUAAAUUAAUAUGUACUCUUCAUGCUUAAGGUUCUGAAACAAAGGUAAGCUAAUUUUUUGAGAAUAUGUAAGAUAUUUAUAAUACCAGCUGUUUUUGUGAUUGCCAAAGAUUAAUCUUCAGCAAGCAUGCCAUAUUAUGCAGGAAUGGGAAGAGGUCUCUUACUGGUGAUCUGUUUGGUCUUCUUUCUGCUAUGACAUAUGGUCUUUUUACUGGUUGGAUUUCAUCCUCUUUACCCUUUGUUUUUCUUUCUCUAUUAUGGAAUAGAGUGUAUAUAGUUUACCAGAUUGUUUUACAAUACUGCAGUGCUUCUCAAAAAGUUCUCUGGAGAGGAGGGAGAAAGAGUUGAUAUUCAAAAGCUGUUUGGAUAUGUUGGACUCUUCACUCUUGUAGCUCUCUGGUGGCUUGGUAAGGUCUAUCAUUGCAUUAUAUAACUACAUCAAGCUGGUAACUGUACUAUCAUGUUGCAUGUUAAGGAACAUAUGAUCCAUGUCAUGAAUGUUGUAAAUGAGCUUUAGAAGUGCCUUUUUGGCCUUUGUUUAACUCUUUAUGUUGUUCUUUUCUGAUAUCUCUAGAUUUCUUUGCUUUUAGAAUCAUUACAUAUUAAAUUCAUUGUAUUGCAUUCAAACUUCUAAAUAGUCAUCUUCUUAUGAAUACAUCUAAUUCUUCAUAGUCAGAAAAUCUCCACUUAAUUUGAUAAUCUUAUAGGAAUUUCAUGUUUCUUCGACAUUCCUAUCAAAGACCUCGAGGAGUCUCCUCUUCCAUUGUUUGUAACUUUAAACAAAUCUUCCUUUAGUGAGACAAUUGUCAAAAGUCCCUUUGUUAAUCUCAACGUGUUUGCACUGUUGACCUACAAGAUGAAUGCCUCAACAAAUUGCCUACGAAGUUUUUCUAACUGCCUAUUCCCCCUUCUUUUUCCCGAGUUGUUGGGCUCACCUGUGGUUUCUCUUUAAUGCAUACUUAUAUCUUAGAGAACUUCCAACUUCCGCUCACAGAAAGUGGUGGUACGCUUAAUUGGUUGACCAUUCUCUAUACAUACAUAUAUAUAUAUAUAUAUAUAUAUAUAUAUAUGUAUGUAUAGUAGGGCUACUGUGCUAUUAGGAGCACAACAGCCUUUGUGCUCCUAAGUUCUUGACCGCCUAUCAAAUUUGAUGGAUAGUUAAGGUGAAAGAAAGAAGAGAAAUUGAAAAGAAAUUGGGUUUCUUAAUUUCUCUUUUUUUUGAAUUUCUCUCCAAUUUGUCUUUUCUCUUUCACCUUAACCACCCAUCAAAUUUGAUGGGCGGUUAGGAACUUAGGAGCACAAGGACUGUUGUACUCCUAAUAGCACAGUAGCCUUACUCUCUCUCUCUCUAUAUAUGGUGUAAUUUACAAUCUAGGAAAAAUAUGAGAAUCAGAAUGAAAUUUGAAAUUAACUUUGGUAAUCAUAAAGCCCAUUGAUAACAUAACCUAACAUGAAAGGCAAGGUAUGGUAACGCUCGGCCCAGGUUCCUAAUCAUUACUACCAACGAAUCAUUGCUGUAACGAGUAUGAUAACAUAAUUAUAUCUGGUCCGCUAGAGACAAAUAUAUUAUUUGGUUACGUUGAUAUCACAAUCAAUUUUAAACAUCGUUGUCACGGUGCACCAUGCACUAUUACAUGCCAUGUUUGAAGCAACCACAAACCAAGAAUUAAUCAUCCCAUUAUGUGUAGCUUCAAUUUACAAUAAUACCCCUAUCAAAUUUGUUGUCCCGAGGCGUUUCAUUCAGGAGUCUUGAUUUACUGUUAUGUAUUAAUUUUAUUUUUAUCUUUUUUAAAAUUUUUAAAUUUUUAAAUUUUAUCUUUUAAAAAUAUCUGAAUAAUUUUUCGAUGAAGGCAAAACUAAUAUGUGGCAGUGAAUCAAGUGCUUUUCAAUAAAGCGUCAUUGUCGUUGGAGAGCUCUCCACUAAAAUUUUAUCUAAUAUAUUACCCUCCUAUUGUACUCUUCAUAAAGUAAAAUACGAUAAUCGUGUUGACGCAUUAGUGCCAAUAACACACAUAGCAUGAUAGAUUUUAUGCUAAAUUGUACUUUGAUUCUAAGGCUAUGAAUGGAAUAAUACUUUGAUCUUCAAACUUCAAUUUGAUAUAACUCCUAGCUUGAAUUUUAUAAAUUAUUAUAAUUAAGUCAUACAAUCUAAUUUAGUUAAUUAAUUGUAUAUUGAUGUGUUGUUGAUUUGAAAAUGAUGUCAUAUCUUAGCUAUUGUUGCGUCACAAUAAUGCUUUGUUCGCUUGCACAUUGGCACAUAUUAAUAUUUAGUUCAGUAAAUUAGUUCAUGGGACUUACUUUGAAAGUAAGUUUGAAUCAUAAUUUAUAACAAAACAAAAUUUUAAGAAUCAAAACUGACCCCUCCCUAGAGCAGGUGGCAAAGGGCUUAGUGGUUGGUAUCCGAGGUCCUAAGUUUGAAACUUAAUUGAUUCAUAUUUUCAGCUAUGUUUUUUUUGAAAUGAAAUAAACAAAACGGAUAGCGUGCUACCUAUCUCUCUCAAAAAAAAAAAAAAAAAAAGAAUCAAAGCAUCACAAACCUCAUCAUUUAAGAACCAAAAGUAUACAGAUAUUAUUUCGUAAAUACUACGUAUACAUUCAAAAGUGACUGUACACCCUACUCUCCAUUCAUCCAAGAGCGGAGAGUUGCGCAUUCUUGAAUAGGUGGGGGGUAAGAAAUAAUACCUACUUUUAGGUAUACUAGUCAGUGCACGUGCGUUGCACGUAUAGAUUUUUCUAAUAUAAUUAAAUAAAUCAAUAAAUUAGUGAAUAAAUAAUAUUAUAUUUAAAUAGUAAUGUCAGAUUUAAAAAAUUAUAAAAUAUUACAAACUAUGAACAAAAUACUGGAUAGAAAAUAUAGUAAAAUAAAAAUAUAAAUUUGAACAUCCAUACAUGAAAAUAGUUUAGAUUAAAAUGAAGUAAUAAAAGAAGAGUUAAAUUCAUUCUAAUUUUAUUGUCUUAGUUGUCGUCAUUGAUGAUCAUUUUUUUUUUUUUUUAAGUGAGAAAACUUUGACUCGGUGAUAUUCAUCACUGAAGCUUCGUCAUCGUCUUCAAGAAUUUUUUUAUGAGUAUAAUUUAAAGAAAAAAAAUCUUACUUCUUAUUGAUUCAAAUUUAUGUUUUUCAUUUUGCUAUAUUUUCUAUAUAUAAUACUUAUGUGUAUUUUGUUUAUAGUUUGUAAUAUUUUAUAUGGGUACCUCUCAAUUGAGUUAUGAAAUUUUGUUAGAAAAGAAAAAACAACUAUUAGUUGAACAAAUAAAACAUUCGAUUGUAUUCCUAGAAAUAUUAAUGGUCAGGAUGUAACCGAUUGUUGUUACAAAAUAAAUGUCAAGUAUUAAAGCAAAAGUUUUAUUAAAAUAACAAGAUAAAAGUGAUAAUUAAUUAGGGCUAAAUUACAGAAAAUUUUCUAUCAAAAUUUGAUUUUUCACAUUCCCCCUGUCAUUUAAAAACCUAUACUUUGCCCUCUUGUAAAAUGAAAAAUGUUCAUUUCACCCCUUACCGUUAGUGAUCCGUUAGAGUUCCGUUUAUAAAAUAUUAUUAUAUAUAUAUUUAUGUCAAAAAUGCCCUCGGUCUUCUCUCCUGUUGGCAAAAAUGAUGAGGGGCAAAAUAGUUAUUUUGUCAUCACAGUUAUACCGUACCUCUUAUGAUUAUUUUUUAUUUUACAAAGGAGCAAAGUGUAAGUUUUUAAAUGACAGAGGGAAAAAGUAAAAAUCAAGUUUUGACAGGAAGAUUUUAUAUAAUUUAGCCAUUAAUUAAUUAUUUUAUAUAAUAUUUUAGAGAAGACAAUUAAUUUACAAAGUGAAAGCAAGUUACUAUGCAACUAAUUCAUCAAAUCAUCGAAAAAUAUGAAAGUAAAUUAAAAAGAUUACUACAAGUACAAUUUUAUCGUAUACAAUUCACUCAAAUAUAAGUAAAUAAUCAAUUUUUAAAAAAAUUCAAAAAAAAGUACAUAUUAACAAAAAAAAAAUUUAAACAAAUAAUUUUACAAAACUAACUGUUCAGUAAGUGUAUGAAGACCAAUUAAAUAAAUAUCACCAAAUUGAUUGAAAUUCACAUAAUAUUCAGAAUAUUUUUUUCUAAUAGUUCUUUUCUCUUCAAAUUCAAGUUCUAAUUAAUGUCAUUGCUUAUGGCAACUUAUAUAGAAAAAAUAGAGAAAUAAUAAAAAUAAAUAAUUUACAAAUAUCUAAUAAUUAUUAAUUGCAUUUAUUUAAAGUGUACACUUUUUUAUUCAACCUUUUUAUUUUUUUAAGAAAUCUCUUUCUUUCUUGGACAAAAUAUAUCUUCUCAAUCUCUUCGUUUUUUAGAGAAGAUACCUUUUCGCCAAAACUCUUAACUCCUCGUUUCUUGGAGGAACUUUUUCAUAUCUUGGAGAAGAUACAUCUCGAUCCUUCCCACCACGUUUAUCGGAUGCCAAGACGAUGAAGAAAUCAAAUAUUAAAUUUUUUAUUUCUUUAUUAAUUGAAAAAGUUAUAAUAUUUUUGUUUGUAGAAGAAAAUAUUUAAACCUCCAUUUCUCCUAUGCUUGAAAGAUAAAAGGAUUGCACAUAAUUUUUUUCUUUCUCUACUAAUUGAAGAAACUAUAAACUAUUCAUUUCUAUGAGCACAUACAUUUCUUGGGCACUACCGGAAGAAUAAAGGUCGUUGAGUCAUAUAUAUAUAUAUAAAGCACAAUCAUUCUAAUUUAUAAAUUUAAAAUUACAAUUUAAACCUCUAUAAUAUGUAUUAUUAGAAUAAACUAUUUAUAAAAAUUAUAUUUUUAAAAAAUUAUUUUAAAAUUUAAAAUUAAAUAUAAAUUAUUUACUAUUUUUUUUAAUAUUGGCUAUAGAAAAUAUCAUACACAAGAUGAAUACUCUUUUUAAUAAAUCAUUUACUUCCUAUCAAUAAUAGAGGAUGGAAAAUGCCCACAACAUCAACCAUGAGCUAAUAAACUUUAUCUAUCAGAAUUUAAAUUUAAAUCCAAACAAUCAAACAAAUUAUGUUUAUCUAUUUUGUAAUUUUGCAUUUUAAAUAUUACAUCACUGAUUUUUAAAGGUUAACUCUGGUACACUACAUUUUUGUUUGUAGCUUCCUCAUCGAAAUUCGCAAUGUAAUUUAUGAGUUUAUUGGAACAAAAUCACAAUUAUAUUUUGUAUACAAGAGAAGGAAAAAUGUAUUUAAAUUUAAGUCCAAAGAAUUCAAAAAAAUUAUAUUUAUCUAUUAUAUGAUUUCACAUAUUUAAACUUUGCUUUAUUAAUUUUCAAAAAUGAACUCUACUACACUAUAUUUUUUUUCUCCUUCAUGAUCAAAUUUGUCUUUUAAUUUUUCUUGGUAUAAAAGUAAAAUUAAAGGUUAUAUUUUUAACCUUAAGACAAUAAUUGAAGUUUAGUGUUUUGUAAAAUUUUAUAAAUAUCUAAUUUAAUAUAAUUUUCUAUAUUAUUGUUGACGCCGGAACUUAGAGGGGACAUGGAGAUAGGACCAAUAUAACACGAUAAAUACUCGACCCGCUGUAGAAUCCACCACGUCAAACUCGAGCACACUCACCGCUAUGCGGAAUCUACCAACACAAUGGUUGAGUAACACUCUUCUCUCACAGAAAAUCCACCUAAAAGAUAGGAGGAAGAAGAAAUCCUUAUUCUCAAAUAAAAGUAGAAACUUCAACUUAACUUAACUUUCUUUUCAUUAUAAAAUCAUUACUUAUUUAUAGGCUCUCAAAUAACCCUUUAUCUUCUCUAUACAUUAAUACACUCUUUAAUUUUAUAGAGAAAGUAAAAGACACUUUUAGGAAUACUAAAAGACACACACAAUUCUAGACUAUCAUAACUCAUUUUAAGAAAACGAAAAGACAAUUAUAGAAAAACAAAGGGACACACUUAUUUCAAAACGAACAUUUAUUAAGCAAUUAAUGACUUCAUCUAUCAACUUUAGGAACGGUGUUAAUUGUGAUUUAUAAUUUAAUUAUACAACAUUGUAAUGAAUAUCUAGAUAGUAAUUAGUUGACUUUACUUUUUUUAUUUUCUAGAUAAAUAUAUUUUGUUUGGAAAAAGAAAACUCCAAACAAUUCAACAAAUAAUAUUAUUUGUUUUAUGAUUUUGCAUAUUUAAACUUUGUUUUAAUAGUUUUAAGAAAUUAACCCUACUACACUAUAUUUUUUUCACCUUCAUCAUCAUAAUUCGUCAUUUAAUUUAAAAUUUUGUUUGUACAAAAGUGUAAUUGAAGGUUAUAUAGUUAAGACACUAAUUGAAGUUUAGUAUUUUGUAGAAUUUUAAAUAUUUUUUAAAAUGAUAUAGAGAAUUUAAAUUAAAAAUAAGAAUUGCUCUAAUUUAAAAUAAUUUUCAACAUUAUAGUUAUUUAUAAGUUAAUUAUAUAACAUUAUAAUUAAUAUCUAAAUAAUAAUUAGUUGACUAUAAGUUUUUUAGAAUUUUGAGAAUAAAUGAAUUUUGUUAUGAAAAGAGAAAAAGUACUGCUUUUUCUUAAAAAAAUUUGAAAAAUUUUGUUAUACUGUAAUUUUUUUUUGAAAAGUUCUGAGGCAUAAUAAUAAAUUUUAAUUCUUGUUGAUAGUAGUUAAAAAUAAGAAAUGCUCUAAUUUAAAAUAAUUUUCAACAUUAUAGUUAUUUAUAAGUUAAUUAUAUAACAAUAUAAUUAAUAUCUAAAGAAUAAUUAGUUGACUAUAAGUUUUUUAGAAUUUUGAGUAUAAAUGAAUUUUGUUAUGAAAAGAGAAAAAAUACUGCUUUUUCUUUAAAAAAUUUGAAAAUUUUUGUUAUACUAUAAAUUUUUUUUGAAAAGUUCUGAGGCAUAAUAAUAAAUUUUAAUUCUUGUUGAUAGUAGGGCGUUCAUCUAAUCAUAUUAAGUUUUAAAAUUUUAUAUUAUUAUUUAUAAUUUAAUUAUGUAAAUUUAUUGUUAAUAUUGAACUAAUAAUAAAUUACCAAGAUACCCUUGGUAGGAGGGGGUGAGGAAAACCCACCAAAUAUAUUUGUUUAUAGUUAAUAUCAAGAUUCCUUUGGUGGGGGAGAUAAUUAGGAUUUUAAAAGGUACGUGCUAAGUAAAUACAGAGACUACAAUUUGGAGUACACUCGAAGGUAUCCAUAUCAUUUGUCUUAUUAAUAGAAUGGUCUCUCCAGUUAUUGUGUGUGAUCCUGGGAAUGAGUUUUACUAGCCGUUGCGAUUGGACAUAUAUAAUCGAUCCUGAUCACAAAGCAUGUUUUUGAAAGGAGGCGGCGGUAACAAAUAAGAAAGUUAUGGAUUUAAAAUUAGCGAGAAUUAAGGAAUUUCAUGUGAGUCCUCUGAGUUUGUGUAUUAAUAUAUAUGAGGAAUUUAUUUUGAAAAGAUUGAAAAGAUGUGUCAGAUGUUUAAUUCGGAUUUGGGCGUGUCAGUUUAUGGAAAAAAGAAUAUCAAAACUUGUAAGUGGAGAAAAUACUUUUCCUUGGUUAUGUACUUUUGCGCGAAAUAAUAACCUUUGGCUAGGUGUUAUCAGGAGCCGAAAUAUAUAGAAUACUUUUAAAAUCGCUAAAUUACUUACUAGAUGCUAUUAUUGAUUUUUGACCUGAUGGUAAAAAAAUUUGGCCGGUGGAUUUAAAAUUUAUAAGCACAAAUAAUUUAAUACUUCUAAAAGCAUUCCAAACCUAUAAGUUGUAAUUAGUUCAACAUAAAAUAAUCGUCACCUAAAAAAGUAUUUCUAGAAGUUCAUUAAUUAUCUGGUUCAGUGGUUGACCGAUAGAUAACAGUAACGGGCACCUACAUGGUAUUGAUAAUAAAUUAUUGAAUUUAAUAACGCAAACGAUAAGGUAAAGCAAAUAAUAGAAUCUCUUGUUUUAGUACGCACAAGCAUUUACGUACUAUAAUUAAUUUUCUCUGUCUCACUCUAGAGUGUGGGGAGAGAGAGAGAGAGAGAGAGAGAGAGAGAGGAGCUUUGGAUUCGUGUGGUGGGUGCGUUAGUACCGAAUUUAUUAGUGCCUGACGACACGUACUCUGUCCCGCACCAGAUACGGCUCCAAUUUUGGGUAUUCCUUUUUCUUUUCUCUUCUUUUCUUUUCUUUUUCUGUUCUUUUCUUUUCUAACGUGUGCGGUGCCGCAGUCCAUGCAGCAACUAAAGCUCACCAGACAGAAAUUGCUCUCCUUCGUACCCACAACUCAACGGAUAGAGAUUGAGAGAGCAAAGCACUGGACAUGGAUACGGGGCGAGCGCACGCGUACAGUGAUUACUCGGUCAAUCUCCACCGUCCAUGCUCCCCGAGGCUCUGAUCGAAGUUUUCGCCUACUAAUUUUAUUUCUAAUAAUAUUGAUCGAAAAUUCACGGUGAACGAUGGAGAGAAAUAAAAAAAAUAAUAAAAAAAAAAGCACACGGCGAUUCAGCUGUCAUGCUGAAAAAGGUUGUGGUUCGAGUAAGCGCUUUCCUACAUUAACGCCGCUUUGCGAAAGCUUCUUCGAAAGGGACUUUCUCAGGAUGAAACACUGCUGCAGCACUGGUUGGUCUUUGUUUGGACGGUGGUGAUCUAUUUUGGGCAUAGGAUUCAACGGCGGAGGAAUCUAGAUUUCUACUCUCUCGGAUAGGGAUGUAAUCUAGUUACAGAGCCAUGUAUAUAUAUAAUAUUAUAUAAUUAUAACUAAGCAAAGGAAGUAAGGCAAAAAAAAAAAAAAAAAAAAAAAAAAAAACUGCAACUGAACAGAGGAAGAGAAAAGUCUUACACAUUCUCUCUCAGCUCUCAACUACUGCUUGUUAAUAUUAUCCAUCAAUCAGAGCCGUUUUCGAUGAUCUCCGAUCUUCCAUCGCCUGGAUCGCUCAUCGACCGCACCAACGCGGACUCCGAACCUAUAAAUAAUGAGGAUGCGCCAAAAAUUACCUUUUUAAUAAAUUACUCUGCACAAUUUAAAUUUUAAGAUUUAAGGAGUGGAGACGGGAACCGCCGCGGCGGUGGGUAACAAUACCUCUGGGGAGUUGAGCGAGCGCUUGCAGUGCGCGAUGGCGCUCUGGAUGCCGUCCUGCUGCUGGAGAAGCGAGUCGUCGCGCCGCCGCUGCUGAGCGGCGGGCGCUGGCUGCGGCUGCGGCUGCGGCGCGCCGGCGCGGCCUCGGCGGCUGCCGACGCUGAUCGGCUCUUCCCGAGGCGCUUGCACACCACCCUCAGCCCCGCGGGGACGCUCGCCCUCGGCCCCUUCACGCCGCACGCCACCAGCGCCGUGUGAGGCGGCGGCGCCGGCCCCGCACCCUCCGCCUCCCCGUCCGUCUCGUCCCCUUCGCCUCCGGCGACGAUCCUCGCCGCCGCCGCCGCCGCCGCCGAUCCCCCGGAGCGCGGGUGCGUUGCGAACCGAAGCUUCUCGGUGUACCUCUUAGAAACCCUAACGUAGAGCGGCUUGAUCUUGCUGAGGUACCUCUUAACCGCCUCCUUGGCGAACCUCGUCUCCUCCGCCGCGGCGUCCUCCGCGGGCUUCGCCUCCUUGCUCGCGGAAACCCUCGAGCUGUUGUCCCGCGUGAAGAGGGACACGAUCGGGACCUCCUCGACCUUGAAUCUGACGAAGAACUUGCUCGGGCCCUGGUGCUUCGGCGACGUCGCCGCAGGGGCGGCGGCGCCGCCAUCGGGCUCGUCGGCGGCGGCGGAUCUCGACUUGCGGAGCCCCAGCAUGAAGACGCGGAGCUUGGUGGCGGAUUUGAGGAGGGAGAUGGGGAGCUGGGGCUUCGGAUCGGAAUCCGAGGGCGCGAUCACGACGGAGGGGGGCUCCAGUUGGACGAGCUUCCCCCCCUUGAAGAAGAUGUCGUCGGAGGGCGAGAGCGCUCCGGAGCGGGGCCCCUCGCCGGAGACGUCGAAGUUGAACUCCCCCUCCGCCUCGUCGUCCGACUCCGCGGCGGAGCUCUCCCUGUCGACGGCGUCCUCGUCGGCAGGGACGGCAAACUCGAGGUCGAAGAAGGAGCCCUCGUCGUCCUCCUCGUCGUCGUUAUGGUUUUCGUCGGUCUCCACGGCGGCGGCGGUGGCGGUGGCGGUGACAAUGGGAGCGGAGGCGGCGGCGGCGCCGUGCCAAUACUUGAGGAGGCUGAGGGUUUCCAUGGUUGGGAGAGCCACCAGAGAGAGGUAAAGUAGGACACUUGGGACUUCGGCUUCUUUAAUAAGUCUCUCUUUCUCUCUCUUUUUCACACUCUCUCUUUACUAUAAGUUUUUUAGGGAUAAAUAAGGAGAAACGCAACCUAAGAAGAGACUUGUAAGUAGGAUAAUACACCAACUUCUAUUAUGUCUCACCCUAGUCCUCAAAUUUUGAUUUAGGCUUCGUUGGGGUUACAAAAAAUUACGUUACAGUGCGGUAAAAAAGUAAGUUAAAAAAAUAUUUUGUUUAUUUUCGUAUUAAUAUAUUUUUAUUCUAUAUAUAAAACGAAGCUUGGCUAGAAACUAAAGAGACUAAAAUAGUAUAAUUAUCCUAAGUAGCUUCCUCCUCCGUCGGUAGGUCCCAUUUGAAUCCCACCAUUUUGAGACUAUUAAAGACACAAAAUGUAACUUUUUUUUUUUUUAGAGAGAAAAGUAACAUAUUAUCUGUUUCAUUUAUUUUUAAAAAAACAAAUUUAGAUGAAAAUGUAAAUUAAUUAGGAUUCGAAUUUGAGACUCAGGUAUCAAUCAACAAAUUUUUUGCCGCUAAAACUAGGAACAACAAUCGAUCAAAAUGUAACUUUUUAAGCUCUUAUAUUCCAAGGUUGGAAUGGGUUAAACACAAAAUAUAACUUUGAACCACAUGCUAGUAAUCUUCUAAAUACACUUUACUGGAGUUUAAGGAGUAUGGUUUAACUAAGUACGAUUUUUGUUCUAGUUUUCUAUUAGUAGCUGAUAUUCUUUCGUUCUCCACGUCUUCGUUGGGAUGGAAAUGGGCCGAUCAGCCCAUCAAGCGAGCCGAAAGAUAUUUGUCACGGGUAGGAUUAAUUGGUUCAUCCAUUUAGCCCGGCCCGAGAUUUAUUUGUGCUUUAAACUAUGAAUGGAUAGCUCAAUAGAACUCGGGCUUUUAUGUGAAGUACGUGAAGGGGAGAGAAUAAUGAACGAAAUAUAGUUAAUGAAUCAGAUUUGAAACGGACCGUUUUGAGGUGUUCUAACUUUUGAGAAUCUAAGGUUCCUUUCAAGGGGUUACUAAACGGGCCAAACAGUUUUUUUUUUUUUUUAAAGAUAGGCAGCAUGCUACCUGCUUCGUUUAUUUUUUUUAGAAAUAAAAUUAAUUGAAAAUGUGAAUCAACUAGAAUUCGAACUUGAUACCAACCACCGAACCUUUUGCCAUUUGCGUCACGUACGGUCGGUGGGCCAAACAACUUCUAUUAGUGAUAAAAUAUUACUUAACACCUCCAACUAAAUUACUCAAUCCAAUAAGUUGAAACUAAUAAAGAAAACAUUGGGAAAAGCAUAUUAGUUGACUGACUCCAAUCUCCAAGUAUUUAUUUCAAGCUCAUCUCUACUUAUUUUCUUUAGCCUCCAGUAACUUACAAGACCACAAAUCCUUCCAAUUCCUUAUAGCAUUUUCCCCUUAAAUUACAGGUGCUCUCUUUUUCCUUCUCUUUCUAUCUUUUAUUCUUUUUAGCACUCUAAAUUUACUGCUAUUAUGGUUGAAAGUUUGAUUCUUAUGGGUAGCUCUAUAUAUAUUCCUUGUUUCAUGAGCAAGCAACUUGUAUUGUGUUGAUUUUUCUCCAAGGUUUUUAGCUUUUAGAAUGUAGAAUUUUCUCUUUUUUUUGGGGGAGGGGUCAAAUCUGAUGAAGGUGGAAAUGAGAUUCUCAAAUCAGUUUUUGAAGUUUGGACUAAAGAAGGGGCUAUAUGCAUUCACCUUUCUUCUAGCCAUGUUGAUAAUUCUCCUCAGUGUGGCCUCACUCUCAAAAUUUUAUUCCCAAAGCUCCAUUUUGAGCACCUACAAAUUUGGCAUAUAUGGUGAUGUGCACAAUAAGAGAAUGGAAGAUAGAGUUGAUGAGAUCAUGGAUACAGUUAUGAACAAGCUUGUUGAAGAGAUAGAGCAUCUAAAGGAGCUAACAAGAGAUUCUGGAGCAGACCAAUCUGAGUUGAAGCAUGAGAGAUUGAAACACACUUCUUUUCUCAUUGAAAUGUUAGGCCUAGUGGGCUCUGCUAAGUCCGUGCUGCCUAGUGAGCGGCGACAUGCUCCUCACGGAGAAAGCCUCGGCCGUAAUGCUCAUCCGUUGUCUAAGAGUGGUCAACCGUACGAUGAAAUGAUCGAAUACUUUCUUGUGGAGGAGAUAAGGAAGUAUGCGAGGAUUAAGCCGAGCAGGCUGGGGAAGCAGAAUUUCAUGGGCGCCAACGGGACGUUCACGAGCAUCGGCCAUGCGUGUUUUGCGAUGAAAGAAGAGCUCGAGGAGUACAUGGACUACGAUGUGGGCGACUUCUGCAAAGAUGAUUGGAGACAGGCCCAGAGACUAAUGGUCCACGGCUGCGACCCCUUACCUAGAAGGAGAUGCUUUUCUAGAGCUCCAAAGCUAUAUGCUAAGCCUUUUCCUAUAAAUGAAUCCAUGUGGAAGCUCCCUGACGAUCGGAACGUGCGGUGGAGCCAAUACAGAUGCAAGAACUUUGCUUGCCUCGCGAAGAACGCCACGAAGAAAGGUUUUUUCAAGUGUUCUGAUUGCUUUAAUCUCACGCGCCAUGAAAUGCCCAGAUGGAUGGAGUUGGUCUAUCCUGAUCCUGCUUCGAACUUAACAGCUGAUUUCCUCAUCAAAGAAGUUCUUCAACUUAAACCUGGGGAGAUAAGGAUAGGGCUGGAUUUCAGUGUAGGGACCGGAACAUUUGCCGCGAGGAUGAGGGAGUUCAAUGUGACUAUCGUGUCAGCUACUAUAAACCUUGGAGCUCCCUUUAACGAGAUGAUUGCUUUACGAGGGCUCGUUC